rnacentral:lncRNA from 1 species
CAGUGGGAACAAUCUAACAAUUGGUAAACAUUUUAAACACCUUAGAUUGACUUUGUUUCUUAUUUGUUUCAGACAUUGUAGAGCAUGGUAAUGUUUUGAACUUCGAGCGAUCCUUUGCAACAGGAACCACAAUCCUUGAUGCCAUCAAGGCCAUUGUUGACACCACCACCAAGGUUGUCUACUCUAGAAAAUUAUCGAAGUGGAAUCUAGAUUAAGCUACAAGACCUAACAAGUGUUCACGUAUGAGAAGGAAAACACAAGCAACAGUGCACUUUUCUAUUUUUUCCUUUUUUAUUGAGGUUAACAAGAAAUGUUACUAACUUCUCUUUUCUUCGUUAGAAUCAUAAAGUAUAAAUUCGACUGUCUAACAAAUGUCUGUCCUUUACAUAAUCAGACAAAUAAAUCUGAUUUUUCUUUUCCCCCUUUAAUGGUAAAACACCAAAAAUACUGUGUUCAACAAGAAUGUCAAAUAUGAACACAAGAAUGUCAAAUAUAGGAGAUAGUAGAUAUGAUACUACCAUAAAAUUUUCCUCAGAAUNNNNNNNNNNNNNNNNNNNNNNNNNGCAUGAAAAAAAUAAUUAGCUGUCACUUCAAAUACUUACUAGAAGCCCUAAUUGUGAGAGAAACUUGAAUACGAAGAGCAUUUUAAGCCCUUUCAAUCUAAUUAUUUCAACACAAAUUUCUUAUCUUAUUUCAGACCAUAAACAUGCAGCGAAGGGGAAAAAUAUAUAAGAUUGCCUGUUGCUUUCGCAUUCAAAUGAAAAAUAAAAAUGUACGGUCUCGCAGGCCUGAAUGUGGUGAAGGUUAAUAGGGUCUUCUCGUGGGUUGCUCAAAAAACAAAAAGAAAAAAGAAAAAAACUAAGGUGGUUCAUAGGAGGAGGCUUGCAGGUUUACUUUCCAUGUCAAUUGCCCAGUGAUUUGUCAUUUAACUAUAACUAGUCUAUGCACAAGGUUGACACAGUGGCAGUUCACUUAUUAUCCUGCAUGCACACAUAUGGCAGCAGAUAUCAGGAGGUAUUCCCAUAGACUGUAGGAGUGACAUCAUUGUUGAUUUCAGAACCAAUUCGGCCAAAGAUUGAAAAGUCAAUUAUAUCUUUUUAUAUGAUUCGUGAGUGCCAUUAAUUAUUGGAUUACUGUUAAAACUAUUNNNNNNNNNNNNNNNNNNNNNNNNNNNNNNNNNNNNNNNNNNNNNNNNNNNNNNNNNNNNNNNNNNNNNNNNNNNNNNNNNNNNNNUUGGGUUGAAAAGUUUUUGUUCACAUGAAACAGACAUCCCUCUAACAUUCUAGUUUUCUCUAACUGUUCCACUAUCAUAAAUAAAUAUUAUGGCGUUAUAAAUGCGAAAGAUCUUAACAUUAGCAUUUCUUAUUCGUCAGUGUCAAAGUUCCUCAUAGUUGUAUGGCCUCAUCUAGCAUAUAUCGGUAGAGCCAAAUUUGUCAUUUUCUUUGUUGUUCAAUUUAAAGCCCUUCUUGGGUCCUAAAUCUUAGAUACAGAAACCAGCUUUGUAGCAAACCAGUGUCCUUUUAGCCUAAAUGGCUUCUCCCCUCUGUUUCAAUGGUGAAACAGAGGGAGAAAAGAAAGGAGAAGCCGAGCCCAACCAGGCCCGUACCAGGCCCAGUAGCCAAUCCGGGCUCGGCCUGCAGGCACCCAGGUCACCGCAGGCUCAGCCGCGGUUGCCCUAGGACACCCCGAUGCGGCCGCAGGCCGUCAGGCCCUGGCCGAGUCCCACCUCCCUCCGGUGAGGAGGUGGUGGCGCCACCACAUAGGGAGGAGGUGAAAAAGAAAAUAAAGAAAGAAAAAGACGGGGGCAAAAAAAAGGGAGGAUCGUACCUGGAUCUCUCUCGCCUCCUUCUCGGUCACGGUGGUUCUCCUCCUCCGCCAUGGUCGGAUCGGGGUAAGGGAGGUCCCCGGAGACUAAAACUCACUCCGGCAUCACUUCGAAGGAGGUUUAGCCCCACCCUCUCCCACUGCUCCCACCCUGGAGAAGGGCACCCCUCGACAGCAGUCGCCGGAGCGGCUGCAAGCCGAGGAAGCGUCGGCCUCCUCAGGGGAGCUCCCAGGGGCUCGGCCCCACCUCGGGGACCCCGUUCGACUCCUCCGGCACCACUUCAGAGGAGGUCCAGGGCCUUUCCUUCUGCCGCUCCGAGGUGGGAGCAUCUCCCAGAGGAGGCUCACCCCACGGUGGCACGGCGAGAGGGAGAAGAGGAGGAGGGGAAGCAAAGAGAGAGGAAGGACGGGACNNNNNNNNNNNNNNNNNNNNNNNNNNNNNNNNNAGAAGCAAAGAGAGAGGAAGGAUGGGAGAAGGGCUCGGCCGGAGGUGAAAGAAGAAGAAAGAAAGGGGCUAGGGCUUCCGAGGGAGACGAGGGGGGGAGAGAGAGAGGAGAAUGGAGACGAAGAGGCGAGAAAUCACUUGUACUACUAAAAAAUGGAAAGUUUACGGACAAUCCACUGUUGCCACUUCCUAAGAAGGCCAAGAAGAUCCUUGUAGCUGGGAGCCAUGCCGACAACUUAGGCUGUCAGUGUGGAGGAUGGACUAUCACUUGGCAAGGACGCAGUGGGAACAAUCUAACAAUUGGUAAACAUUCUAAACACCUUAGAUUGACUUUGUUUCUUAUUUCAGACAUAGCAGAGCAUGGUAAUGUUUUGAACUUCGAGCGAUCCUUUACAACAAGAACCACAAUCCUUGAUAACAUCAAGGCCAAUGUUGAUACCACCACCAAGGUUGUCUACUCUGGAAAAUUAUCGAAGUGGAAUCUAGAUUAAGCUACAAGACCUAACAAGUGUUCACGUAUGAGAAGAAAAACACAAGAAACAAUGCACUUUUCUAUUUUUCCUUUUUUUAUUGAGGUUAACAAGAAACGUUACUAACAUCUCUUUUCUUUGUUAGAAUCAUAAAGCAUAAAUUUGACUGUCUAACAAAUAUUUGCCCUUUCCAUAAUCAAACAAAUAGAUCUGAUUUUUCUUUUCCCCCUUUAAUGGUAAAACACCAAAAAUACUGUGUUCAACAAGAAUGUCAAAUAUAGGAGAUAGUAGAUAUGAUACUACCAUAAAGUUUUCCUCAUAAUNNNNNNNNNNNNNNNNNNNNAAACAAAUUGAUCUGAUUUUUCUUUCCCCCUUUAAUGGUAAAACACCAAAAAUACUGUGUUCAACAAGAAUGUCAAAUAUAGGAGAUAGUAGAUAUGUUACUACCAUAAAGUUUUCCUCCGAAAAAAAAAGAAAGAUAGUACCAUAAACUAGAAAGCAUGAAAAAAAUAAUUAGCUGUCACUUCAAAUACUUACUAGAAGCCCUAAUUGUGAGAGAAACUUGAAUACGAAGAGUAUUUUAAGCCCUUUCAAUCUAAUUAUUUCAACACAAAUUUCUUAUCUUAUUUCAGACUAUAAACAUGCAGCGAAGGGGAAAAAUAUAUAAGACUGCAUGUUGCUUUCGCAUUCAAAUGAAAAAUAAAAAUGUAAGGUCUCGCAGGCCUGAAUGAGGUGAAGGUUAAUAGGGUCUUCCCGUGGGUUGCUCAAAAAACAAAAAGAAAAAAGAAAAAAACUAAGGUGGUUCAUAGAAGGAGGCUUGCAGGUUUACUUUCCAUGUCAAAUGCCCAGUGAUUUGUCAUUUAACUAUAACUAGCUAUGCACAAGGUUGACACAGUGGCAGUACACUUAAUGUCCUGCACGCACAUAUAUGGCAGCAGAUAUCAGGAGGUAUUCCCAUAGACUGUAGGAGUGACAUCAUUAUUGAUUUCUGAACCAAUUCAGCCAAAGAUUGAAAGGCAGCUAUAUCUUUUUAUAUGAUUCGUGAGUGCCAUUAAUUAUUGGAUUACUGUUAAAACUAUUGACAAAUCACAAUCAGCACAACAUUCUAGAAUAGGGCAGUCUCGUAAAAAUAUCAGCUCAACGUGCUAUAGAUGGCCCUGUCCAGAUUGGGUUGAAAAGUUUUUGUUCACAUGAAACAGACAUCCCUCUAACAUUCUAGUUUUCUCUAACUGUUCUACUAUCAUAUCUAAAUAUUAUGGCGUUAUAAAUGCGAAAGAUCUUAGCAUUAGCAUUUCUUAUUCGUCAGUGUCAAAGUUCCUCAAAGUUGUAUGGCCUCAUCUAGCAUAUAUCGGUAGAGCCAAAUUUGUCAUUUUCUUUGUUGUUCGAUUUAAAGCCCUUCUUGGGUCCUAAAUCUUAGAUACAGAAUCCAUCUUUGCAGCAAACCAGUGUCCUUUUAGCCUAAAUGGCUUCUCCCCUCUGUUUCAAUGGUAAAACAGAGGGAGAAAAGAAAGGAGAAGCCG